GACGUAGGGCGCGAGCGUUGUCCGGAUUUAUUGGGCGUAAAGAGCUCGUAGGCGGCUUGUUGCGUCGACCGUGAAAACCCGUGGCUUAACUGCGGGCUUGCGGUCGAUACGGGCGGGCUGGAGUUCGGUAGGGGAGACUGGAAUUCCAGGUGUAGCGGUGAAAUGCGUAGAUAUCUGGAGGAAUACCGGUGGCGAAGGCGGCAUCCUGGACCGACAUUGACGCUGAACGGCGAAAGCUAGGGGAGCAAACGGG
rnacentral:rRNA from 1 species